rnacentral:lncRNA from 1 species
AAGCAAUCAAAACAAAUGNNNNGAGAUAGGGUAUGGUACCCCCAGAACCGGGGCUCCUGGCUGGGACUCUUCCAUUUUAGUCUACCAAACAUGUGCAGUUUCCACCACAAAAUCCACUUGAUCUGACCAAGGUGGAAAUGGUUAACCAAAGGAGACACUGCAGGCUUUCAUUCUUGAUGCUUUCCCUAACCCUGAACAGGAGGACAGAGAAGGUGAGAAAUGUUUGGCAACUCGGAAUUCAGAACAGGAAUUUACUAGAGGUACUGGCGGCCAAUCCCGUUGGCCGAAAAGCACACAGAAAAGAUGUUUCACAAAGCUACUCCCACUGCUUCCGAACGUCCACGUUUCCCCGUAAUAAACACAUUACAUCAAGUAAAGCCCAGAGCCAACUACAGAUCUGUUCUCACUGUGCUGAGUGGUCUCAGCUUCUCUCCAGCAACCGCAACUGUGUCUCUGAGCAGGAGGGACUCCCUGAGACACCGUGUAACUCCUUAGGACCCAACAGCCUUUGGGCCCUGUCUCUAUUUGCACCCUGAUUCCCUGAGGGAGCCCACCCGUAUCGCUUCCACAAAAGCACACGCUCCACCUCCCCAUCACUGAGCACCCUGCUCCUUGAACAUCCCUGGGCCGACAGGGGGAUGGACGGUCCCCUCCAUGGGCCUGUGCUGCCUGGACUGGAGCUGUGACCGAGGAAGGGGGCAGGGGCGGGUGACAGGCGCUCUCCUUGUGGGCCAUCCUGCCCUUCUCCUGGUUUUCCGACCCAUGGGGGACAGUUUAUUCACGUCCCUGUGCUCUCAUCCGCUGAGCGCCUCUGUGUUCUCAAGGAACCCUACUCAAAACGAAAGGGCACAUUGUGACGCCACCAAUUUAAACGCUAGAAAUUAUAGGAAAGCAGACGGCCGACCCAUGAGGCUCAGGUAAUGUAAGAAGAGACUUAACUCCAAAAGGGAAACAAGGAGAGAGAGGCUGCUGAGUGCAGGAGCACGGCAGGGCUCGCAGACUUCCACAGAGAGCACUGACAAGGCCUCCUUCCUGGAGUUAGUCUCCCCUUUCUCCACGAGCUCCUGGAUGUCUCCAGGGCUACUCUGGAUUUCAGGCCAAUGUGUGUGUGUAGAUACGUGGGGGUUAAGGGAAUAAUAGUGGAAUUGCUAUUUGAGGCCCCUCCCCCAAAAGGCUGGCAGUGCUCCAUUUUAAUUUGGUUCAGCUCCCCUUUCACCUCAACAGACACCAUCCAGCUUCUGACUGUCACAUCACAAACAGACCACAAGAGCGAGCACAGAACUGGAAAGCCCAGUGCAGGAGAUGGUCUUGUGGCUGGAGAAGGCUCCGUGGGUCUCGCCAGCUGCCAUCGUGUGGGGCUUUUCAAAUCCAGCCCUGGACACGUGUUCCCCGGCUUCACUUCCUUCAUGCCCUUGCCUUUUCAUGCAGCUUGUCUGCCAAGAAGGUGACUCAAACUGUCCCUUUAGGCACAGAGGAACCACACGACUCCGCGACUCCACUCUGAGGAACGUGCAAAAACCACACAACUGCACAAAAACUUGUACGUGGAUGUUCACUGUAGCACUGUUCACAGGGGCCGGAAAGCAGAAACAGCUCGAAAUGUCUACCAACGGACGAAUGGCCAGUGAAACGUCGUCCAUCCACAAUGGAGUCUCACUCGACUAUGAAAAGACGCAACGUGCUGGUUCAUGACACAACACAGGUGCCCCUUGAAAACAUCACGCAGCUAAAGGAAGCCAUCAUGAGAGACCACUGUUAUAAGAUCUCAUUUCCACGAAAUGUCCAGAGCAGGCAAAUUUAGAGCCGGAAAGUGGAUUAGUGGUCGCCUACUUCUGGAAGCGAUGGUUUUUCCAGUACUCACAUAUGGAUGUGAGAGUUGGACUACAAAGAAGGCUGAGCACCAAAGAUUUAUUGCUUUCAAACUGUGGUGCUGGAGAAGGCUUUAGAGUCCCUUGGACAGCAAGGAGAUCAAACCAGUCAAUCCUAAAAG